AUUCACACCUAAACACAGUCAUGCACACAUGAAAAGUAAUUUCCUAUUGGGAGACCUUGCUAAGCUUUCCUUUUAUUUUAUUUUAUUGUUUUUUUCCCUAAAGGCUCUUUCCUCUGAAACCUUCCAAAUUUUGAACAGCAGCGUGGACAAAGGAAAAUGUUGAGGGCGAAACUGAAGGAUUAGACCGGCUUUGGACAGAAUUGCUAGAAAACACAACAGAUAUGAGAAUAAAGUGUGGCAGAGAACAUUUGUGACUAAAGAGCACCGGAAAAAGCACAUGUCCCAAAACACCCUGCUAUUCUUCUACACAGUGAA